GCUUAAGCAACCAAAUUAGGGUUUCCUUGUUAGAUAACCCUAAUUGCCUCACUAUAUAUAGACCCCUUAAGGACCAAAAACGUGGACAAGCAACCUUCUAGGGUUUCACACGUUUUUGGGCAGCCUCCAUCCUCUCUCCUCUUCAUCCUCUUGCUUAUGGUGUUUGUAAGCCAUUAGAGGAGUGACACUUGUGACUCUAAGCCUUCCAAAGUCAAUUCAAGGAGGAAUUGGGAUUGUUAUUGCUACAUAACAAUCAAGGUAAUAUCUUAAACCUAAUUAUAUGUUAAUAUUGAUUUCCAUAUGCUAGAAUUAGGGUUUAUAGUCUUGGAUUCAAAGCAUGUACAAUAGAGAAACCUAGAUCCAAGCAUUAGGGUUUGUAUGAGCACAUAGGAUGUCUUAUGACCAAAACCCAUCAGUGGUAUCAGAGCCUAGACUGGUUUCAAUUGUAUUGAUGCAUUACAUGUUCAAAAAAUUCGAUUUUUGGGUUUCUGGAGGCUGGACUCGCCGAGUCCAUGGCUGAACUCGCCGAGUCCAUGCAGACUCGACGAGUCCAAGCCUGACUCGACGAGUCAACUCGUCAGAUGGAGGGUAUUUCGCGAUUUCUUGCUGUUUUUGCUUUUGGAUAGUUACCUUAUCAUGUUAGAUCAAUAUUAAUCCGAUUAUAUGAUAUAUUUGACUAUAUUUUUGAUCUAAUUGAAGAUAUUUAUCAAUUAAUAAGAUAAUUGUUUCCUUAUGUGAUAAUUGAUUAAUUAUUUUGAUUAAAUUGAUAAAUUGUUUUGCAAGAAAUCAUUAAAUAAAUCAAAUAUGGAUAAUUAUGUGAUUAAAUGUUAAUUUAGAUUAUUUGUUAUUUGAUCCUUGUUGUUAUGAAAAGUUUCAUAUUUUCCCCUUUAGGUUUUAUAGUUUAAAUUUGAACCCAAAAGUUUUGUUGUUUUGAAAUUUAAAUAGUUGAAACCCUAAUGUUUUGAAAAAGGUUUCAAAACUUGCCCUCAAGUUUUGGAAUUUAAAUUUUGAUUAAAUAGUUUAAUUUUGAUGUAUAUUUAAAUUCUAAACCCUAAUGUGUUGAAAUGUUUCAAAACUUGCCCUCAAGUUUUGGAAUUUAAAAGUUGAUUAAAAGUUUAAUUAGGAAUGUUAAAUUCUAAAACUCUAGUAUAGUUUUGAAAAAGUUCAAAUCACACCCUUAUGGUUUUAUUAAUUAAUUAAGGUGUAUAAUUAAAAGAGGUUUAAUAAAUCCAUAAAAGUUUAGGUUUACAAUUUAAUUGAAUUAAAAGUAUAAUUGUUAAAUUUGACCACCUAGUAUUUUAAAAGUGUAAAAUACACCCUAUACUAUAUAUAACAUUAAAAGUCUAACAUUAUAUAUAUGUAUGAGUAAAAGUCAGUCUUACCGUUAGUAGGCCUCAUUCACGAAGCUGGUCUAUAAGGGGUGUUUAAGGAAAUUGCCUAUAAAAUGGCGAUUGAAUGGGUAUCCACUCUUACCCACCGCACUCUUGACUAGUGGAGGGUCGUUAGCCGAACGGGUAGGAUGGGCAAAAACCUUCCAUUAUAAGUAUAAUGAAGUAUAAAAGUAACUAAAUGUUUUCAUAAAAUUCCCAAUCUUAGUUACUUAGGCAAAAGUGAAUUGAUGCAAUUCCAUGAAAUUACACUUUGUGCCCUUGCGAAGACGUUAGUGGAGCGUGUGUGGUUUACCGGCACACUAAAUGGUUCUAAGCAAAGGUAGCAAAGGGUGACUCAAUGUUUGUCAUAGUUCGGUGGAGCGUGUGUGGUUUACCGGCACAUCGAAUAGGUGACUGUAACAUGUGAGGGCACCAUGUAAGUUUGCAUGGUUAUUCACACCCGCUUUGUGAUCCUCGGCAUCCCAGUCACAAACAAGAGGGGCAUAUCGAGAUUUAAACAUGCCAUUGAAAUGUUCAAUGAAUCUCAAAGGAUCUAGGAGUUUUCAUAGAUUUAAAACUUAAAUUUCUUUUUCGUUUUUCAUGGUGGAAAUUAGUGAAUCGUCAUUCACUUACCUUCAAAUGUUCUGCAAUUUGGGUUACGGCAUCCCUCUCCCGAGUUGUAGAAUAUUGUGUUGGGUCCUAGCCUUAGUAUCUCAUUUGGGUGAUUUACUAAGGACUCAAUCAAUCAACUAACUUGAAUUCGUUUUCUCCCGUUUUGUAGAUGUCAAAGUUCGACAACUAUGGUCUUCCCAAAUCCCGUGGAACAAGCAUUCCACAUGAAGAUGAUAUUCCACGAUUCGAUCGAGGAACAAGAAAUCAUGCUUCACUUCCUCCACCUCCUCCAAUUAUUCUCCCUAACCCACAAGUUCAAAGGCUUGAAAAGUUCAAGAUCACUCAAGCCCUUUUGGCAAGUAAACAUAAAGAAGGAAAGUCGGUGUGUGCACACGUCCUAGGGAUGAAGUCACACAUUGAUAGGUUAAGAAUGUUGGGAUCCGUUGUCUGUGAGGAAAUGGCUGUUGAUUGGGUUCUUCAGUCACUUCCUAACUCAUAUAGUGAGUUCGUAAGAGAGUACUAUAUGAUGAACCGCGACGUGACCCUUAUAGAUCUCACCUAUAUGCUUAUUGCUGCUGAAUCAGCAAUGGUUUGGCGCAAUAGAAAAGCAAAGUUGAUUGGUGAAUCUGCCUUCAAGACCUCUAUGGAUAUAGACAAUGGCAACGAAAGACAUGCUAUGAUCGAAAAGUUUGAUCAUAAGAGAAAGGCAAUGUCUGAAGUAGUUCCAUGUCAUGUUCCAAAAGAGUCAAUUUGCUUUUAUUGCCAAGAGAAAGGGCAUUGGAGACGAAGCUGCCCCAUUUACCUAAGAGAUCUAAGAGAUGGGAGAGUCGAAACGUAUGGCUCUAAUAUAGGUAAAAUCCAUUAACUAACUCUUUUAAGCUUCUAUUCUAGAUUCUUAAUACAUAAUGUGAUAAGAUUACAAUUGAUGUUUUGUAGGAUCGAAGAAAAGAAAGGAAGCUUAAGGGAAGAAGUGAGCAGAAUCUAACCGUGAAGGAAUGGAUUUCGAUCGCAUUUCUCGAAGAUUAGAUUCUUGAGCUACUACUUAGAGUUAGAAUUAGAUUGCUAAGAAAGAUGUAUUAGCAUAGUUUUUCAAUGAAUUGCAUUGUAAGGACAAAAUUUUUCCGCAAUAAAAUAAAUUUUGAUUUUAUAUUAUUUAUUUAUCCUUGCAAUGGCGUAUAUGAAAAAUUGAUGUUUGAAUGUUUCUAUUAUUAGCAAUAAUGGAUUUGGUUCUUAUUAUGUUAUUUAUGGAAAGUCGAGAAUUUACCAAAUAGGGAGAGUUUCUCAUCGCCCAAGUUUCAAUUGGACAGAAACUUGGAAUCAUGCAACUUGGUUGCACGAUGAAUGAGAAAUUUCAUAUUUGGAAAUUAGACUAAUUCAUUGACAAAGUGUCAAGUGAAGGACUAGGAGAUCGAGUACACAAAGUUGCGUGUUGAUCAAGUCCACCAUAAGAGUAACAAAGAUAUUCGUCAUGAUUUACUAAAGGUUUAGUAAAUAUGAUUAUACUUAUAAGAUUAAGUGUAAUUCUGAAUUGAUUGAAAAGGUUUAAAUCAAUAGCAGAACGAAUAAGAAGAAUCAAGUAGGCAGAAAGAUAAAAGUUUCUCCAUUCUAAGAAGAAGGGAGAGUACCUUUUAUGCUUUAUGAUAGGUCUUAAUGAUUAAGAACCAUAUCUCAAUUGAUCCUCUAAGUGAGUCUUAGUACAAUUGUAUGUCUAAGAAGAGGAAUCAAGAAUUGAAGAAAUGGUUAAAUCAAGAAGUCAAUCAUACUUCGUUCCAAAACAAGUCUUAGAGUUAAGAUUGUGAAAUUGAGUGAUAAGUAUUAAGAAGGUUUAUAACAUUCAUCAAAUGUGGAAAGUUGUGAUGUCUUGGAUAAGACAAAGACCAACUAGGACCAAUUUAUGAAGUGUUUUGAUAAAAGCUACACUAACUCUUGAAUAUUUGUUUGUCAAGAAAUGGUUAUUGACAAGAGAAUCUUAUAUGUCAAGGAGUCAGUGGGAGUCUUAAUGGUCUUGAAAGGUUUCAAGAACAAAUCAAAUAAACCUUAUCGAUCAUCACUAGCACACGAGUUGAGGUUUACAACCUAUCGUGUUGACAUUAUUUUGAUUCUGUGCCAAUCCAAUCGAGUUAAUUAUGCAUGUGAGUUCUAUGAGUUCUCAUUUUGAACGCAUAAAAGGCAAAGCACCUUAAUCAAUGAAAGGUACAUUGAUAGGAAAGGGUGAGCUGCUUAACUACUUGGAAGACAUGGUGGGCAGCUGUGCUACCAUAAGGCAAGAAAUCAAGAUUAAGAAAGUUCGGUCCAUAUGAGUUUGAAUUUGUCGUAAACUUUGGUUUUAACAAAUUCACAUGGAUAGGAACACAUACACCGUUUAAAUCUAAGUGUCAUAAGAUUUCCUCCUUCAUGAAAAUGAUUGUGAGGAAAUGCUUUCACUAAGAAAGAUUUUAAGAAGAUAGUGAUUGUAAAAUUGCAUUCUCGAAUUCAAUUAUGGUUACGGUAUCCCUUUCCAUAAUUUGAAUUGUGAGGUUUGGCAAUUAGUCUUAAUUGUUUAGACACACAUAUGAACUAUCGAAGGCAAAGGUGUAUAAGUUCAAGAAGCCUUGAUAAAAGAUUAUCAAAGCACUAAGUAUUAGAAACAUGAACUUAAGAAAUUCAAUAAGUAUUGUUUUUCUGAAAGUUAAGAUGUUUAUGAAUACAUGUCGAAGCUAGUGGGAGCAUAAGUGUUAUGUUUUAUAAUAAUCAUCAUGAUAGUGGGAGCAUAAAUGUUAUGAUUGUAUGAUUAUUAAGGCACGUAUUGCAAGUUGGCAAUAUUAAUUAUAGAAAACAAGAGUUAUACCUUGCAAAGUCGUAAGGGUUGUAAGGUUGUUUUGCUAUAAUUAAGGGAGAGAAUAUUAUGCUUCAUUUCAAAUCUAAAGGAUUAGGUUGAGAAAUGUUAAUAAAUUUAGUCAAAGGUACAUAGUGUGUUCUUAAAAUUUCGAUUAUGAUUACGGCAUUCCUCUUCACAAUUCGAAUUUUGAGAACAUAGCAAAUAAAACAUUAUGCGUCGUGUCCCAUACGCUUCGGGUAUAGGAUCGAUUGCAAAUGCUUUAAUGUUUGACCAUUCUAAAAUUUUCCAAAUGUCGAGCGCAUUUAGAGGGAAAAGGGACUAGAAUUGGUUUUGACUAAAAUAAUUAAACAACUAUCAAAGGACAAUCCAAAGUUUGACGAGGAUUGGUCGCUUGUGAGUAGUUGGAAGCAUGGUAUUGGAUGGACCAUAUCGACAUUAUUAUGAAUAGAAAAGAUUCUAUUAAGAAUGAGUUGUCAUAUGGAAAUUAUGGAAAUGUUUCCAUAUUGGAUGGACCAUAUCGACAUCAUUACGAAUAGAUAAGAUUCUAUUAAGAAUGAGUUGUCAUAUGGAAAAUAUGGAAGCGUGUCCAUAUUGGGAAUUAAAUAUUGAAAAUCUAUGACUAGAUUAGAAACUUUUAUGCAAAAGGAUGUUCAAAGGAAUGUACUUUGAGUGAGAGACAUCGUAUCUAAGGAAUUGUCUUGUAACAAUCUCCGAUAGAAGAUUUUGUAAUAUCAUUUGAAAUAGUCUUUGUGACUUUUGUAUAGUGACAUUACGAAAGUAUAAGUUGCAUAGAAUGUUAGAAUCUGGCAUAUUCUAUAAGUAGCAAGAAUUUGAUAUUCUUUCACUUAUGGAAAAGGAUUUGGAAUUUUGAAGUGAGAAUGAUUGGAAAUGUGCUCAAUUUGGUCUAUUUCACAAAGUAAGAACCAUCGGUAAACAUUGUGUGCAUGCUAGGAGCAUGGGACAAGUAUAAUAAUUCAAGUAAGAAGUUGAUUACCCGAAACGACAAAUAAUGAGUAAUCGAUAUGGUGAUAAAUAAAAGGUGUUUUAUUUAUACUCAAAGGUUUGAGGCCAUAUGGGAUUAGUAUUAUUCUUGUGUUUCACUUUGCAUGUUUUGACUUCCUGAAUAAUUUAAUUGGUUAAGAACAGUCAAAUUAUUCGAACGGGCCACAGUCGUUCAUAUGUUGGAAGUAGGUAUGAAUGAAGACUGUCGUGAAUUGGUGUGUGGAUUGUCUAAAGAGUAUUAGACAUAAGCAAAUGUUUGCUGCAACGUUCAUGAGUGCUUAUGAAUAUGAUUUGAGCAUUGGAUUAAACCCACGCUCACUUGGAUCACUCCAUGAAUUGUAUCACGAGUGAUUGGUGAGACGAUAACAUCUUAUAUUCUUGAAACCGAGAUGUGUGAGUUGUAUCUUGCGAAUCGGUUGCACAUUGAUAAUAUGUAAACGCACUAGUAACUUGGUGUUAUAAAACAUAUUGUUGUGUGUGAUUCGGUGAGUGAGUGCAAGCAAGCAUUGAAUCAAAGUUUAUCCGUUCCUUUUAUCCAAAGUAGGAUAAAAGCGAUAUCUUUGGGCCCCUCGAUGAUUUAGUGAUGACAAACGUAAAUGCUCGGCCGGGCUAGGGCUAAUUUGAUUUGUUCAAUUAGUCAGUCGUCAUAAAUCGGGAAUCGAGAUAUAGUACAAAGAGAAUGAUUUGAAAUCAUAUCUCAUAUGAUAUCUAGAAUGGAGGAAUAUAUGAUCCCUUAUCUAAGGACACGCGUAUCUGAUAUGAUCAGAGUUGACAGCGGCUUUGGAAAGCUACGAUUGCAGAUCAGGAUCUGAAGUCAUACGCAGAAUAGUUAUUAGACUUAUCCAAGUGGGAGACUGUUGGAUUAGUGUCUAAGUCCAUAACUAUUUUGGUAUGUACUUGACCCGAUGGUGCAUGGUCCUUUUGGGUUGCCUUCACCAAAGCAACUUGAUAGGAUGAAUUAUGGAGAGAAAGGAUUAAAUAUGAUUUAUUAAUAUAUUAUGGGAAUAAUAUAUUAAAGGAGAAAUCAUAUUGUUUAAAUAAUAUUAGUCAAGAAUUAAUUAGUAAUUAGUUUUGUGACUAAAAGAGAUUAAUUAAACUUAAGGGACUGAAAUUGUAAUUAUAAGAUAAUUGCAAUUUGGGUCAUGGAUUGCCUUUUAUUAUAAGGUGGACGAAUCUAAUGGGAAACCCAUAAAGAAAUCGUCCAAGGGCUUGAUUAAAGGAGUCCAUGGGUUGCUUAGGGCUUAAGCAACCAAAUUAGGGUUUCCUCGUUAGAUAACCCUAAUAGCCUCACUAUAUAUAGAUCCCUUAAGGACCAAAAACGUGGCUAAGCUUCUUGCUAGGGUUUCACACGUUUUUGGGCAGCCUCUAACCUCUCUCCUCUUCAUCCUCUUGCUUAUGGUGUUUGUGAGCCAUUAGAGGAGUGACACUUGUGACUCUAAGCCUUCCAAAGUCAAUUCAAGGAGGAAUUGGGAUUGUUAUCGCUACAUAAUAAUCAAGGUAAUAUCAUAAACCUGUUCUAAUAUCUAAUAUGAUUAUCUAUCAUCAUAAUAAACUUCUUAAUCAAGUCAGCAACCCAACCUUGUUGGACAAAAAGAAAACCCACGUGAACCACGAGAAGUCAUCGAUCACAACCAAACAAAAUGAUUUCUGUUGAUACUGAGGACAUUGACCAGACCAAAUAAGUCCAUAUGUAACAAUUGGAGCACCUGUUUGAUUG
rnacentral:lncRNA from 1 species